rnacentral:antisense_RNA from 1 species
GGGGUUUGAAGCAGCAGUUUAUUACGCUCCUUGAUAUCACCGCCAAUAUGGUAAGGCAAGCCGCAGUUAGCAAAAGAGACAAACUCACCGCGUUCAAACAUGAUAAUUUCAGCAUCUUCACUUAAUCGUCUUGCGCGAGCCGCAGCAGAAGCACCACCAGCAACGCCAC